rnacentral:rRNA from 1 species
GACGAACGCUGGCGGCGUGCUUAACACAUGCAAGUCGAACGGAAAGGCCCUGCUUUUGUGGGGUGCUCGAGUGGCGAACGGGUGAGUAACACGUGAGUAACCUGCCCUUGACUUUGGGAUAACUUCAGGAAACUGGGGCUAAUACCGGAUAGGAGCUCCUGCUGCAUGGUGGGGGUUGGAAAGUUUCGGCGGUUGGGGAUGGACUCGCGGCUUAUCGGCUUGUUGGUGGGGUAGUGGCUUACCAAGGCUUUGACGGGUAGCCGGCCUGAGAGGGUGACCGGCCACAUUGGGACUGAGAUACGGCCCAGACUCCUACGGGAGGCAGCAGUGGGGAAUAUUGCACAAUGGGCGGAAGCCUGAUGCAGCAACGCCGCGUGCGGGAUGACGGCCUUCGGGUUGUAAACCGCUUUCGCCUGUGACGAAGCGUGAGUGACGGUAAUGGGUGAAGAAGCACUGGCUAACUACGUG